rnacentral:rRNA from 1 species
UUAAGCAUAUCAAUAAGCGGAGGAAAAGAAACCAACAGGGAUUGCCCUAGUAACGGCGAGUGAAGCGGCAACAGCUCAAAUUUGAAAUCUGGCCUUCGGGUCCGAGUUGUAAUUUGUAGAGGAUGCUUUUGGUGCGGUACCUUCCGAGUUCCCUGGAACGGGACGCCAUAGAGGGUGAGAGCCCCGUACGGUUGGAUACCUAGCCUCUGUAAAGCUCCUUCGACGAGUCGAGUAGUUUGGGAAUGCUGCUCUAAAUGGGAGGUAAAUUUCUUCUAAAGCUAAAUACCGGCCAGAGACCGAUAGCGCACAAGUAGAGUGAUCGAAAGAUGAAAAGCACUUUGAAAAGAGGGUUAAAUAGCACGUGAAAUUGUUGAAAGGGAAGCGCUUAUGACCAGACUUUUGUCCGGCGGAUCAUCCGGUGUUCUCACCGGUGCACUUCGCCGGGCUGAGGCCAGCAUCGAUUUCUGUAGGGGGAUAAAGACUUCAGGAAAGUAGCUCCCUUCGGGGAGUGUUAUAGCCAGUUGUGUAAUACCCCUAUAGGGAUCGAGGUUCGCGCAUCUGCAAGGAUGCUGGCAUAAUGGUCAUCAGCGACCCGUCUUGAAACACGGACCAAGGAGUCGAACAUUUAUGCGAGUGUUUGGGUGUUAAACCCUCACGCGUAAUGAAAGUGAACGGAGGUGAGAGCCCUUACGGGUGCAUCAUCGACCGAUCCUGAUGUCUUCGGAUGGAUUUGAGUAAGAGCAUAACUGUUCGGACCCGAAAGAUGGUGAACUAUGCGUGGAUAGGGUGAAGCCAGAGGAAACUCUGGUGGAGGCUCGCAGCGGUUCUGACGUGCAAAUCGAUCGUCAAAUCUGCGCAUGGGGGCGAAAGACUAAUCGAACCAUCUAGUAGCUGGUUACCGCCGAAGU